rnacentral:tRNA from 1 species
UCCCAGGUGGCUCAAUGGUAAAGAAUCUGCCUGCAAUGCAGGAGACUCGGGUUCGAUUUCUGGGUUGGGAA